AAGGCUGGCCCAGAACAAGCGCCAAGGAAAGAAGUCCUGGGAGCUCUGAGCUGCACCGCUUCCCCAGGUCCCAGGAGGCCGCAGUCAUUCCCGCCUCACCAGCCAAGUGAAGACAGCAAACACCCAGGGCAUCAGGCAGCUGCCCCGCAGGGCUGUCAGACUCAUCCUGAAAAUGCCUGAAGGACAAGCUUCUGAGAGAGUGGAAGGGAAGGAGGGAGGAGAGAGGGACAUCAAUGUGAGAGAGACGCAUCACGACUGGUUACCUCGUCCACAAGCUCUGAGGACCGGGAUGAACCUGCAACCCAGGCCAGAGGAGCCUCGGCUGCCGUGAUGACGCUGUGGGGUCCUGGAUCAGAUCUUGGAACAGAAAAGGGCAUGAAAAAGCUGGUGAAAGCAAAUGUCUUCGUUCUGACAAAUGUACCAGUUACGGAAGGGGGGUCAGGGGGACUAUUAUCUUUGCAACCUUUCUGUAAAUCUAAAACUAACCUCAAAUAAAGUCGAUU